rfam:Solanum lycopersicum cultivar Heinz 1706 chromosome 11, whole genome shotgun sequence.
CGACCCCAGGUCAGGCGGCAUUACCCGCUGAGUUUAAGCAUAUCAAUAUGCGGAGGAAAAGAAACUUACAAGGAUUCCCCUAAUAACAGCGAGCAAAGCGGGAACAACCCAGCCUUAGAAUUGGGCAUCUCUGUCAUCCGAAUUGUAGUUUGGAGAAGCGUCCUCAACGGCGGAUCGGGCCCAAGUCCCCUGGAAGGGGGCGCCGGAGAGGGUGAGAUCCCUGUCGUGCCCGGAACCUGUUGCACCACGAGGCUCUAUCUACGAGUUCGGUUGUUUUGGAAUGCAGCCUAAAUCGGGGGGUGAAUUCCGUCCAAGGCUAAAUACUUGCGAGAGACUGAUAGCGAACAACUACCGCAAGGGAAAUAUGAAAAGGAAUUUGAAAAGAGAGUCAAAGAGUGCUUGAAAUUAUCAGGAGGGAAGCGGAUGGGGGCCGGCGAUGCGCCACGAUCGGAUGUGGAAAGGUGACGAGCCGGUCCGUCGAUCGACUCGGGGCAUGGACCAACGUGGAUUGGGGGGAGGACAAAGCCCGGGCUCUCGAUAUGACCAUGGAACGCCAUCUCCCCUAUUAUGGAAGACAGCGCACGCCUCCGGCAUGCUUCGGCAUCUGUGCACUCCGGGCGCUUGCUUGUGGGCUCUCCAUUCGACCCGUCUUGAAACACGGACCAAGGAAUCUGACAUGUGUCUGAGUCAACGGUCGAGUAAACGCGUAAGACAUAAGAAAGCUGAUUGGUGGGAUCCCCCUGAGGGGUGCACCGCCGACCGACCCUUAUCUUCUGAGAAGGGUUCGACUGUGAGCAUACCUGUGGGGACCCGAAAGAUGGUGAACUAUGCUUGAACGGGGCAAAGCCCUAGGAAACUCUGGUGGAUCCCCGCAGCGAUACUGACGUGCAAAUCGAUUGUCUGACCUGGGUAUAGGGGCGAAAGACUAAUCGAACCGUCUAAUAGCUGGUUCCGUUUGAAGUUUCCUUGAGUAUAGCUGGAGCUCGCGUGUGAGUUCUAUCAGGUAAAGUCUACGAUUAGAGGCCUCGGUGGCGCAACGCCCUCGACCUAUUCUCAAACUUCAAAUAGGUAGGACGGUGCGACUGCUUUGUUGAGCUGCGCCACAGAAUCAAGAGCUCCAAGUGCGCCAUUUUUGGUAAGUAGAACUGGCGAUGCAGGAUGAAUCGGAAGCCGGGUUACGGUGCGAAACUGUGCGCUAACCUAGAUCCCACAAAGGGUGUUGGUCAAUUAAAACAGCAGGAUGGUGGUCAUGGAAGUCGAAAUCCGCUAAGGAGUGUGUUACAACUCGCCUGCCGAAUCAACUAGCCCCGAAAAUGGAUGGAGCUUAAGCGCGCGAUCUACACCCGCCGUCAGGGCAAGUGCCAGGCCCCGAUGAGUAGGAGGGCGCGGCGGGUAGUUCGUCGUCAAGCGUGGCAUACCAUCAUAGCCCUUGGAAAACAGACACGGUCAGACGACGUCGGGCGUGGCAUGCCAUCAUCGCCUUUGGACCAGCAGACACAGUCGGACGACAUCAGGCGUCGCAUGCCAUCGUCGCCUUUGGACAAGCUGACACGGUCGGACGACGACGGGCGUGGCAAGCCAUCUUCGCCCUUGGGAAGCACAGACGGUUGGAAGGCGUCGAGCGUGGCAUGCCAUAAUCGCCCUUGGACAGCACAGAUGGUCGGCCGUCGUCAGGCGUGACAUGCCGUCAUAGCUCUUGGACAGCACAAACGGUCGGCCGUCGUCGGACAUGCCUACACACCAUGGUCCGCCGUGGCCGUCCCGCAUAGAUCGUGGCUUGCACAACAUUGUUUGAUAACUAGAUGAAACAUGCGGAUGUUCAUGACGUACAUGAAUCGAUGGAUUUUGAAACAACUCCCAUGCAUAACAAACAUAUUCAUCGACUUUUUUAUCUAUUCUCUAACGUUUCCACCUUAUGUGGCUCUUUCGCAUCAUUUUCAUUACUUCUACGGUUCGUUUGAUUUUGAAACAUCUUUUAUUUGUGCAAGUAUAUAUCUUAUCAUUAAUUUGACAUGUUUAGAAGUGUUUUCGAGCAUUUUCGUAUUUUUCCAACUUUUAAUCAUUAUUUUAUAAUUUAUUUUUACGCUUUUAAACUUUUCACGUCUCGUUUUAAAAAUAAAAACUUAUUAAAUUUUUUAUUUUAAGGUUCCCACAUUUAUUUGUGAAUUUUCGGAGUUGAUUUCAUAUUUAUUCGAUAUUUUCCCUAUUUUUUAUUAAUUGAUUACUAAUUUUUCAAAAAUUUCGAAAAAAAUAAAAAAAUGUUGAAAAAUAGUAUAUAUAUAUAUAUAUUAAAGUCAUUUGUGAAAGCAUAUAUGUGAUUGUACCUUAGAACGUGCACAUUUGGGUUGUACAUUUCUAUUAUGAUUCUCUGGAAAAUCAAUGUCUACUCUUGUCACAUGGGUAAAACUUUUUUAAGCAUAUAUAAAGGGGAUAGAGGUGUUGGAUGCAGACUAAGGCGUAGGAAGGCAGAUGGCAUAGGCGUCCCUUGGGCUUAUUAGGCGUGUUGUGUGGUUGCUUAAUGGCAUGCAUGGCUUGUCCGUGCAACACUGUGGGGCGUUUACAAAAAUACAUUGGCGACGUCGACGGGUCGAGUGAGGCAAAGGUAGGCAGACGUCAAGGGCGUCCUGUGGGCUUAGUAGGCGUGCUGCGUGGGUGCUUGAUGGCAUGCAUGGCUCAUCCGUGCUACGCCAUUGGGCGUCUACAAAAACAUGCUAGUGACGUUUUGCGGGGCGGCUGAGGCGAAGGCAGGCGAACGUCAAGGGCGUCUUAUGGACUUAGUAAGCAUACUGCGUGGGCACUUGACGGCAUGCAUGGCUCGUCCGUGCUACGCUGUGGGCGUUUACAAAAACACGCCUGCGACAUCUGCAGGGCGUUUGAGGCGGUGGCAGGCAAACGUCAUGGGCGUCCUGUGGGCUUAGUAGGCGUGCUGCGUGGGCGCUUGACGGCAUGCAUGGCUUGUCCAUGCUACGCCGUUGGGCGUUUACAAAAACAUGUCCGUGACGUCUGCAGGGCGUUUGAGGCGGUGGCAGGCGGAUGUCAUGGGCGUCCUUUGGGCAUAGUAGGCGUGCUACAUAGGCGCUUGACGACAUGCGUUGCUUGUCCGUGCUAUGCCGUUGGGCGUCAACAAAAACAUGCCAGCGACUUCUGCGGGGCAACUGAGGCGAAAGCAGGAGGACGUCAAGGGUGUCCUGUGGGCUUAGUAGGCGUGUUGUGUGGGCGCUUGACGGCAUGGUUGUUACUCCGUGCUUCGCCGUUGGGCGCUUACAAAAACACGCCACCGACAUCUGCGGGGAGACAGUGCUCCGCCGAGGGAACUUCUCAAGAUCGGUUUAUACUAGCGUUUGGUGUGGAAACGGCAAUGCUUUCGGGCGAAUGGUGAGUUCUAGAGCUCAUGUUACAGCUAACUCUAGGCAUCGCACGCACAGUGCACGUAAGGCAAUGUACAGCUACAAGGCUGUCCAGAGACGUCCACGGGAGCCUCAGGAAGAGUUAUCUUUUAUGUUUAACAACCUACCCACCCUGGAAUCGGCUCAGCCAAAAGUAGGGUCCUGCUGCUGGAAGAGCACCGCACGUCGCGUGGUGUACGGUGCACUCCCGAUGGCUUUUGAAAAUCUAGAGGACCGAAUGUCUUCCACGCCGGGUCGUACUCGUAACCGCAUCAAGUCUCCAAGGUGAACAACCUCUGGUCGAUGGAACAAUGUCGGAAAGGAAAGUCUGCAAAGUGGAUCCGUAACUACGGGAAAAGGAUUUGCUCUGAGGGAUGGGCACGUGGAUCCCAGUCCCGAACCCGUCGUUGGACUGAACGAGCUGCUCCCGCGGUGAAAGCCGGUCACCGCGUGCCGGAUUGGGGACGGACAAGGAACGGUUCCUUCGGGGGACUUCCCAGGACGUCGAACAGCCAACUCAGAACUGGUACGAACAAGGGGAAUCUGACUAUUUAAUUAAAACAAAGCAUUGCGAUGGUCCCAACGGAUGUUUACGCAAUGUGAUUUCUGCCCAGUGCUCUGAAUGUCAAAGUGAAGACAUUCAACCAAGCGCGGGUAAAUGGCUGGAGUAACUAUGACUCUCUUAUGGUAGUCAAAUGCCUCGUCAUCUAAUUAGUGACGAGCAUGAAUGGAUUAACGAGAUUUCGUGUGUGCCUUUCUACUAUCCAGCGAAACCACAACCAAUAGAACGGGCUUAGAAGAAUCAGCAGGGAAAGAAGACCCUUUUGAGCUUGACUCUAGUCCGACUUUGUCAAAUGACUUGAAAGGUGUAGUAUAGGUGGGAGCUAAAAGACGUAAGUGAAAUACCACUACUUUUAAUGUUAUUUUACUUAUUCCGUGAAUCGAAAGCGGGGCACUGCCCCUCUUUUUGGACCCAAGGCUCGCUUUGCGGGCCGAUCCAGAAAGGAGACAUUGUCAGGUGGGGAGUUUUGCUGGGACGGCACAUCUGUUAAAAGAUAAUGUAGGUGUUCUAAGAUGAGCCCAAUGAGAAAAGAAAUCUCGUGUGUAAGAGAAACGUAAAAGCUCGUUUGAUUCUGAUUUCCAGUAUGAAUACGAACCGUGAAAGCGUGGCCUAAUGAUCCUUUAGACCUUUGGAAUUCGAAGCUAAGCUUUCAGAAAAGUUACCACAGGGAUAACUUGCUUGUGGAAGCCAAGCGUUCACACCGACGUUGCUUUUUGAUCCUUCAAUGUCGGCUCGUUUGGUCACUGUGAAGCAUAAUUCACCAAAUGUUUGAUUGUUCACCCUUCAAUAGGGAACGUGAGCUGGGUUUAGAACGUCGUGAGAGAGGUUAGUUUUACCUUUGAAAAGCCAGUGGCGCGAAGCUACAGUGUGCUGGAUUAUGACUGAACGCCUCUAAAUCAGAAUCCGGACUAGAAGCGAUGCAUGCGCCCGCCGUCCGCUUGCCGACCCGUUGUAGGGGCCUAUGGCCCCCAAGGGCACGUGUCGUUGGCUAAGUCACCGCAACAUAAGCGUCGCGGUGACCGCCUUGAAGUACAAUUUCCAUGGAGCAGCGGGUAGAAUCCUUUGCAGAUGACUUAAAUACAAGACGGGGUAUUGUAAUUGGCAGAGUGGCCUUACUGCCACGAUCCACUGAGAUUCAGCCCUUUGCCGCUCCUAUUCGU